AGAAUAUGGGUGUAUACUAGAAAAUCUUGCUACCAGGAGGCAGUCAUGCCUUAGGUUGUAAGUGAGUAUGCAAGAUAAUGACAGGCCCGAAUGAGCAAGGUCGUAGCUUCCGAAGCUAGACUGGUAGCGAAGGUUAUGCCCAGUGUAAGGGUAUAGGUUAUGAUGAUAUUUUNCGAUAUUAUCCUGAACUCUCUUCCCAAGUCUUUUAAUUAAGAACUUCCGCCUCAAUGCUGUUAUGAGCAAGAAAGAUAAUACUUCUUUUUGAGUUGUUGAAUGCUCUAGUUACGGCUAAGGAAGUUGUGGGAAAGAGAUGUGCAAGCACUUGUUAUUGCCAAAGGAGAGCCAUCUUCUUCGUCGAAUGACGGGAAGAAGAAGGGUCCAAGGGGCAAGAAGGACAAGGGAAAUAGUGGGAGUAGUGGUGUGAUAAGAUUGAGUAUUGGAGAUUUCUUCUUUCAAUACUCAAGGCAAAGGGUUAAGGUACUUCACUUGCUAUAGUAACUGAGACAUGUCAGCUCGUUUUCUACUCAGUUGUGAGUAGUGGAUAACGAGAGAAACUGAUAAUGAUUGUUGCACCUUGCAUGGCUUUUAGGCUGACAAGGAAGCUGAGAAGUGAUGAGAUGAUUGUCUUCAUAGGCAACGUGACUAGAGUCGCAGUUGUUGCAAUUGGAGACUUGUCUUUGAGUUCUAAAGACAUAGUUUAGUUUUUGAGAGUUCCUUAUCAUGUUUCAAAAUUUUGAAUAGAUGGAUCACAUGUCAUUUUUGAUAGUAGUAUUUCUAUCAUAAGAAAUGACAAAGUUGUCUAUUCUGGUAUUUUGAACAUCUCUCUUCAUACUAUAACUUGUCUACAAAAUACCUUUAUAUUGCAUUUACAUCAUCGAACAAAAGAAAGAGAAAAGUUAAGGCUAAUCUCUCAUGAGGAUCUUACACAUAUAUUGAUACCCUAGAUUAGGUCGCAUCUAUCUUAACAGGAUCCAAAGGCUUGUGUCUAAAUAGUACAUUGGAUUCAAUCCAGGUUGUACCAUUUGGAACCUGCGAAUCCUGUAUAGAGGAAAAGAUGGAGACCAGGUCAUUCAUGACAAAGGGGAUAAAGGGCCAAUAAUGUGUUAGGAAUGAUCUUUUCUGAUUCAUUGUCAGUGUUUGGGAUUCCAACCCAGUUUACUACACCGUGUAAUCCCUGCAUAAAAUGGUGUGGUGGAGAGAAGAAAUAGGUCACUCUUGGAAAAAUAUAUUCAAUGAUGAGUUAUGCAUCUUUGCAAUUAGUCCUAAAGAAUCAGAAGGUGGUUAUUAGCAAUGACACACGAUUCUUAGAAGUGGGCUAUGGGAAUAAUCACUAAUCCAAGUCAGAUAGUGUGCUUCAAGAAAUUGAAGACAUUAGACAGGCGAUUCCAUCACCCAAGCCAAGUGUGCAAGAGUUUUGUACCACAAGACACUGCACGCACUGUUGACACACAUGUGCCACCACAGAUCCAUUGUAGUGGGAGGGUUGUGGGACAACCCGAUCGAUUUAUAUUCUUGGGAGAAUCUUUGGAUUCAGUCUCUGGUAGUGAAUAUAAGAGAAUCGACCCAGAUAUCUACUUGGAAUUAGUGGAAGACGAGAAUGUAGAUUCCUGGCACGCCUCAAUGGAGCAAUCCAUUAAGAAUAUGGUUGUAUACUAAGAGAAUCUUGCUACCAGAAUGCCGUAAAGCCAUAGGUUGCAAGUGAGUAUACAAGAGAAUGAUAAGCCCGAAUGAGCAAGGUCGUAGCUUUUAAAGCUAGACUGGUGGCGAAAGGUUAUGCCCAGUGUGAGGGUAUAGGUUAUGAUGAUAUUUUCGCCAGUACCAUGCUCAGAACAUUCGGAUCAUUUUACCCAUAGCAGU
rnacentral:lncRNA from 1 species